rnacentral:tRNA from 1 species
GCGAGCGUGGCAUAGUGAACAGCGCACUGGUUUGCAAUGCUAGAGAUUCCGGGUUCGAUUCCCGGCGGUACCA